AAGGAUAAAAACAAUUUAUAGGGCAAGAAACUGGGCAGGGGGCAAGAUAGGAAAUGUUCAAAGCUGCUGCUGAAUCUUUUGCAGCCAGCUUUCUCGGGAUGGGGAGCCCUUGCUGAUUUCUGUAGUGUACACACAGUUUCACCAUGGUCAUUUCUAAGCUACCAAUGGUUUAACUGCUGGCUUGUGAUCUUCCUAACGCUUUAACCGUUGGCAUCAGCAUGAACUGGAUCUCAGAGACCCCUGAGAAGACACUGGUCCGUAGGGGCUGGCGGACCAGGAUUGCAGGUGGGCUCCAGGGACACGCGUGGUAAACAGCAAUGACAACAACCAACAGCAAAGCAUUUAAGAGUAGUUACAAAACGGUGCAAAGAAACCAUUUACAUCUGAAGGUAUUCCAUAAAAGGAAGGAACAGCGCCUGGUCAGGGCUGGUACUCCAGAUGAGAAAGACCUUGACGGAGAGAAGGUGGAUCUCUCAGAACAGGCCAACGGCAUCGGUCAAGGCUCAAAGGGGGAGUCUAGAGAGUCAGGCUCAGGAGUGAGAUGGAAAUAGCACAGAGAGAAACACAGGGUGAGUCGCUGGCUUAGAGCCUGGGCUCUGCAGUCUGAGAAAGGCAGUUUGGUUUAGUUUUGUUUUUGUUUUCUCUUUGGCAGUGCCCACGUCAGGCAGAAGUUCCAGGAACAGGGGUCAAACCCAUGUCACAGCAGUGCCCCCAGCCACAGCAGUGACAAUGCCAGAUCCUUAACCCACUGUGCCACCAGGAAACUAAGAGAAAGGCACUUUUGAGUCUUGGUUCCACCACUGAUAUGGGAGGUUUUAUGACCCUAAAAAAAUAAAUGGAGAUGAAAUGGAGAUGCCAUCUACCUUUUAGUGACCUUGUGAGGAUUAAAUGAGACAACAAGAGUAAAAUGUUGGCACGGUGCCUGCGUUGGUGAGGGCUCAAUAGAUGGCAGCCGUUUUUAUUGCUGUUUGUCUUCUGUUUUCAUUACCCAGUGUCCUGAGAAUGGGAAUGGUUUUCUCCAUACCCAGCACAGGGCAGGGCACACGCUGGGUGCCCACUUCAAGAACUCUGCUGAUGGUGCUUCCGGCUUCCCUGGCUGGACAGCUGGGCAUUUGUGGAUUUUCCCUCCUGACCCUUCCUGGCUCUGCUGUCCUGAGGCAGCUUCCAGAAGCUUUAGGGUCACCACUUUCUUCUGUGUGGGGGAGCCUGUGACCAGGAGGAUUCUAGAAGACUGUUGCUCCCCAGGACUUUCCUCUCUGCUCAUUCUCCCCUCUAGGAGUAGCAUCAGGGAAGGUGCUGGCAUACGGGCCUGGCACUGUGCUUGUCACUGGGAAGCAAGGUCAGUAAGACAGAGAGCUGCCUUCACAGUCUCAGCUGAUGGUGGGGGUGGGGACAUUCAGUUCUCAGUGUCGACGGGCCGGGAUCGAGGAAUCUGUCUACACAAUUGCGGACUUGGGCAACGGCUCCACCUCAGCCUGGACAGUAGGCUGGUUCAUGCCAUUUGCCACGGUCAGCAGAAGCCCUAGAGGCUGCCAUGAAGCCCUUUCUCAAUUCUCAAAACGCAAAUCCUUUAAAGCAAAUCACUGUAAAGUCUGUCUCCAUCUUUUGGGAAAGGGAUACUGACAAUGUCCUGCACGUCAGAUAAAGAUGCUGGUGCUGUGAAACGGAGGAGAAUUGCCUUGGUGCUCAGGAGCAGCAGGAAAGAAGGACCUGGCAGUGCCAGGACAGAGGGGACGGGUAAAUGGAACAGUGACCAAAACUGACGGCCGUGUGGGGAUGCUGUCUUCAGCUUCUGACAUUUACUUCGGACAUACUUUUCUGGUCAGUGGGCAAUUGGCCAUUUUUUGCAGGGACCUGCCAUGCUUUAAGCAGAAAUAUGGCACCACCAGUCACGUGCACACGCUGGCGAGGACAUGGCCUUUGACCCGUGUGUCCAUUCAUGGGAGGGGGAGUUGCCGAACCACUCAACUUCCUUCUCAGCUGGGUCGUGGCUCAGAUGCAUGUUUGUGACACUGGAUCCAAAGGAUUUUAUUUAUUUGGCUCUUGGACUUUGAAAUUUGGGUAAUUGUUCACGUUUUCUUUUUUCUUUGGCAAUUCAAAACCAAUUUUCCAUCCUAUUAGGGCACCAUUUUAUUUGUAAUUCAUCCUUGGCUCCAGGCAAUUGUCUUCCCUUUUAUUUUCUUCACCCUAAUUUCCUCACUUGCUUUUCUCAAUCUUUCUGUGAAUAAGGCCUGCCUCAAUUCUUUUAGAAAUUAGUCUUAGGAAUAAUUAAGAGCAUUUCCUAUAAUAUUUUGCCUCCACAUAGAAUAAUGGUAUAUCAAAAAUUACUAGGAUGGGUUGUGAAUCAAUGCUUCAAGUCUCAGUAAACAAUGUUGAGUCCCUAAGGGCUUUUAUAUUAAAGAUAAGUGCCUGCCCUCAAAGAGAUUCUAGUCCCAAGUCACGGACAAAACGGGCAGACCCAAGGUAACAGGACUGUUUCGAUACAAGAUUGUAGAGGCAUCAUGAUUGGAAAGGUUGCACUUGGCCCUUGAUCCAUUCAAGACACAUGACUGUACCUAAAACCUGAGGACCUGAAAUGCCCGAGCCAUUGGGUUAUUUCCUGCAGGAAAGGUGCUGUCCACGUAGACAGUAUGCACCUCAAUCCUGGUGAGGGUGUGGACGGGGCUGGCUUCCUGGAGGAAGUGACUUGGAGAGUGUGCUGGCAGGGCGGGAGCAGAGUUGAAGAGACCCUUGGCAUUGCUUCUGGAAGAUGGGAGCCUUUGCAUUUGUGCUUUGAGUGAAUCCAGCAGUUUCUUCCUUAUCUACCAUAGAUGGCUUUUUGUUUCAGUUAAGACUGGUUAAACUGCCAGACUUCUCUGCUCGUUGGCAGCAUGGCAUGCCCAAGCGGCUUUGAUAGCCUUGCCCUUCCUCUGCCACCUCUUCUUAAACCAUGUCCAGAGCUUGAGCCAGACAGCACGAGGUCCAGUGGGGGCCCGAGGCGGCCAACCCUCCCCUAUCCAUUGCCAUAGAAGCCCAGCUGUGAACAGCACGUAGGUCCCCAACACUGCUGGGAAGAGGGGACCCAGGGCGGGCCAAGAUGGCAGAUGGCUUAGAGUGACAUGCUGUUUUCAGGCCCCUCUACCUUUGUGGCCGGUGCCAUUUGAAGCUGUUGGUUACUGUUUUUAGCUUGGCUGUCCACAGGCUUGAGGAGAGAGCUUUUGUAGUCACUCAGGAAUGCAGGGUAUUUUUAGCAAAGAGAUUCUGCUUUAAGCAUGUGCAUUGUGUGCCCUUCCAAUUACAGGCAUGGCUGCGGAGGGCUAGGCUCUGAAAACUUGGGGGACCAUUGGUAUCAAUUCCUAGAAAAAGGAGAAGGGGAGGGGUGUAUAAACAGGACUGUCUGGUGGGUCUCCCCUGGGUUUUAAGCAAAGUCUUGUCUCUUCAUUCAUCCUCAGAAGCUGCUGCCCAGGUGAGAAAUGAAGAUAGACUUGGGAAGAAGGGAGGUGGAAGAGAAAUUGCUUUGAGGCUGAAGAACCACCAAAGGAGCUGUGAACCCAUGGACCACAAUUCUCAGGUUGAACCAUAAGAACACAGGUUUAGUGAGCUCUUGCUGUACAAGGACCAGUGGGGUAGUUGAGAGAAAUACGAGACCUGGAUCCCCCUUGGCAGUUCAUACUGUCUCAUUGAGACGACGUGACUCGCCGUCCGUCUUCGGCAACGCGUGACGUGACAUUGGAGUGACCAUGAACUCAAUGACCGUGAACUCAACUGACCAUGAACUCGUGUGGCUGGGAGAAGCCUGCGCUCAGAGUUUAGAGAGAGCAGAGAAGUCAGUUAGCACUGGGGCCAUCCCAGCAGAUUCAAGGGGCCAUCCCAGCAGAUUCAAGACCACAUGCACAAAGCCCCUUGUCGAGUACUUGGUGCCAAAAAUGGUGCCCAGUGUCUCCCCUCCCCCUCCCCGGGCUCUUCCUUCUCAAGCGAUACCUGAUGAGAACAAAUGCCAGUGUUCGGUUCGCUUCCCUGUUUAAUUCAGUUCCUUUUAGGCCACACGAAGUUUCUGUCUCCACAAAAGCCUCGGUAGGGGCGGCUCAGCAGAUACCCUCUGGUUGGACCUUAAAACAAUGGGCUGGGGACAGAUCCUGGCAGAGUGAGGUGGCUGCCCUGCCCCCAAGGCACAAAUGCAGCCUUUCAAGUCCCAGCGGCAACUCGAUCCCUCUUUCAGUUCCGUCUCUGGGCUGAAACCCGGUGGAAACGUGAGGGGGGAGGAGAUUGGGCGGCUUUGACCUACUCAGGGUGUGCGGAAGAAGGGCUCUUUCUUCACUUUGGGAAAUAAGUGUGCACCCAGAACAGUAGUGAAGUAUAGUUGCUGAAAGGCUAUGUGUAUGCGUAUGACUGGAUCCGCUUGUUGUGCAGCGGGCGUGAUCACAUCCCUGUCUACCGACGACCCGUCAGUAAAACUUUAAGAAAGGUACAGUUGCUAUACAAUACUAUAUGUAUAUACAAUAAAGUGAUUGCAUAACAAAAUGAUUCCUAUAAUUAUUACUAUAAUCAAACAUGUAUUUAUUAUAUACAAUAGAAUGAUUUUAUGAAAUAAAAUGAUUUACAACUUU
rnacentral:lncRNA from 1 species